CUGACAGUGGGCGCCUGAACGCUGACUUUCCGGAAGCGCCAGAAAUUUCUGCUGAGGAAUUGGAUAUUUAUUUAGCCGAUAUUUUACAGCCACUUCUCUGUGUUUGCUUUCCCUCUCCCAACCAGCUCCUAGCAGAAGAAGCUCCUGAAAGAUAGAAACCAUCUCGAUUAGCGCCCCUCCCCCUCUCCGUCUAACGCCUACAGCAGGGGCUUUAACCAGAGCUACUUUAAGGCCUCGUGAUUUGAAAUAGCUUGUGCGCUUGCGCGCCACCCGCAAGACUACAUUUCCCAGAAGCGAGGAGAGGAAUCUCAAAUUCCGAUGCAAGGCCAUGCUGUCUCUGAGCAGGCGCAGCUGGGGAGUCUGUUUUCGGCCCUUCCCUCUACCUUAAGAGAAUACUGGGGAGACAUGUUCACCUCGUGGAAAUUACUGACAUUCCAAGAUGUUGCUGUGGAAUUCACCCAGGAGGAAUGGAGCUAUUUGGAUCCUGAUCAGAAGGACAUGUACAGAGAAGUGAUGCUGGAGAACUACCAGAACUUUGUCUCUCUUGGGCUUCCAGUAACUAAACCAACUGUGAUUUCUCAUCUGGAGAGACAUGAAGCUCCCUGGCUAUCAAGGGAAGAAGAUCCCAGAUGCAUUUCUGAGGAUUCCCCUGUUGAAAAAAGAGAAUGUGAAACCAAGCAGCCAACUCCACAACAGUGUAUUACUAUCAGAGAGACAUCCAGAGAGGGACUCAUAAAGGAUGGUUUAUACAAAUCUAAAUUGGGAGAAGCUUGGAAUUAUGACACUGGAUUAGAAAGGCUGGAAAGACAGUCCAUGAAGCUAGUAAUUAAGCAUAGCAAAACAUCAUGCAGCAGAAUUUCCAUGGUGAAGAAUUUUUGUAAGUUUAAUAAAUACAAGAAACUUUUCAGUUACUACUCAAAACUGAAUCAUUACCAUAGAGAGUACCAAGGAGAACCUCAUAGAAUUAAUGAAUGUGGCAAAACCUUCCACAUCAAUUCAGGCAUUAGUGUACAGGGAGGAAUUCAUGCUGGAGUGAAAGCUGGUAAAUUUGGUGAAUAUGGUAAUGCAUCUAUCUGCAAACCACACCUUAGUGUUCAACAGAAAAAUCUUCAAGAAGAAAAUCCUAUUGAACGAUAUAAUAAUGGUAGCAAAACUUUUAGGCAGUGGGGAUAUCUUUCUCCACCUAAUAGACUUCCUUCUGAAGAAAAACCAUAUAAAUGUAAUGAAUGUGGAAAAGCUUAUAAGGACAAAGAUUCCUUUAAUAAACAUGAGCGAAUUCAUACUGGAGAGAAACCUUAUAUAUGUAAUGAAUGUGGAGAAGCUUUCAGGUUGAAAAGAAGCCUUGUUGUACAUGGAACAACUCAUAGUGGGGAGAAUCCUUAUAAAUGUAAUAAAUGUGGGAAAGCCUUCACUCGGAUUGAUAGCCUUAAGAGGCACGAGAAAAUUCAUACUGGAGAGAAACCAUUUGUAUGUAAAGAAUGUGGAAAAGCCUUCAUGUUUAAGGGAAUCCUUGACAUACAUGAGGUAAUUCAUUCUGAACAGAUGCCUUAUAAAUGUAAUGAAUGUGGGAAAGCCUUCAAACUCAAGGGAACCCUAAAUAUACAUAAGAGAAUUCAUACUGGAGAGAAACCGUAUAAAUGUAAUGAAUGUGGAAAAGCCUUCACUCAGAAGUAUCACCUUAAUAUUCAUGAAAGUAUUCAUACUGGAGAAAAACCCUAUAAAUGUAAUGAAUGUGGAAAAGCCUUCACUCAGACGUAUCACCUUAACAUGCAUAAGAAAAUUCAUACUGGAGAGAAACCAUAUAUAUGUAAAGAAUGUGGGAAAGCCUUCAUGUUUAAGGGAAGGCUUGAUAUACAUGAGGUAAUUCAUACUGGGCAGAAACCCUAUAAAUGUAAUGAAUGUGGGAAAGCCUUCCGUCAGAAGGGAGGCCUUAAUUCACAUAAGAGAAUUCAUACUGGAGAGAAACCCUUUAAAUGUGACGAAUGUGGAAAAGCCUACCACCAGAAGGCAGGCCUUGAUUCACAUAAGAGAAUUCAUACUGGAGAGAAACCCUUUAAAUGUAAUGAAUGCGGGAAAGCCUACCAGCAGAAGACAGGCCUUAAUUCACAUAUGAGAAUUCAUACUGGAGAGAAACCAUUUAAAUGUAAUGAAUGUGGAAAAGCCUACAGGCAGAAGGCAGGCCUUAAUUUACAUAUGAGAAUUCAUACUGGAGAAAAACCAUUUAAAUGUAGUGAAUGUGGAAAAGCCUUUAGGGAGAAAAGCAGUCUUAAUUCACAUAGGAAAAGUCAUAACUGAUAUGAAACUAUGUAAUGAAUGUGGAAAAGCCUUCAAAGUUCAGGAAUAUCUUAAUAGACAUAAGAAAACUCAUAUUGAUGUGAAACUCAAUAUAUGUAAUGAAUGUGGAAAAUCUUCAAUUGUAAGGAACACCUUAAUUUACAUAAGAGUUUUCAUAUUGGAUAAAAACCUUAAAAAUGCAAAGAAUGUGGAAAACCAUUUAAGUGUAUAGAAACUUUAAACAAUAAAAGAAAUUCCUUCUGGAGGGAAGUCUUUUGAAUGUACUGAUAUUGAAGCAGACUAUGGCUGAAAUCCAAACUUUGAGAAAUAAAAGAGAAAUUGAGAAAACUUUCUUGUACAAUUCAAACCUUAACAGAUAUCAAAUAAUACAUCCUAGUGAGAAAUGUAGGGGUAAAGAAUGUGAGAAAGCUUUCAAAUAGCAGACACACUUUAUUUUACAUGAAAAUAUCUUCACUGGCCCAAGCUGAUAUAAUAUCUUAGGCAGUCAUACUGAUUGAACAAUUGGAUUUGGGGGCACAAUCUUAUAUAACCAGUGGACAUGGAGGAGUUGGGGGACAAGAUCCAAGGAGGAGUAGUUUGAGAUAUUGACACUUCUGUGCAAAAGUUGUUUCAAGAUAACUAGAUAAUCUCAGAGGUUGAACACAGUACGGAUUAGAAAGUAAGUAAACUCCAGUUUCACAUGAUUCUAUUGUAAUAAGACAAGUUCUGUUUGUUUCAUUAUCCAGAUAAUGGGGACCAGAUGAACUUAUUUAAAGUCCAGAUCAUAAAUACUAGCCCUUAUUAUCUCAGUUUUUCUAAUUAAAUGUAAAGAUAAUUUUUAAUCUUCUCCCCAUCCCUCAGUUAUAUUUUAUUUUUUUUCCAAUUAAAUAUUGUAAAGGGCUGAAACUCUUGAGUUAAUGCACUGAGAUUGGACAACUGAGCACUUAAGGAUAAUUAUGAAUUGGACAUACUCUAUAAGCAUACGCUUGGAAAAGGGCCCUUCCCACUAUUCUGUGCUGGCUCCAUAAUUGGUGUAUACAGAGAAGUGUAGGAGGGACUAGAUGGGGUUGAGUAACACUAGCCAGAGUCACUUCUGCACGGGAAAGGAAAAGGAGAAGUUGUGGGGAUUCUGCGUCCAUCCAAUUCACUCCUACCCCUAAAGACCAUGAAUAAAGACCAACGACUUUUGCUUAUCCUGACUCCAGCUGAUUUUAAGGUAUCCAGGGUGCUAACUCGGUCUUCACAAUAUAUGAAAAUAAUUUUCAACCUCCCUAUAACAUAUAUCAGCUGGUACUUCAACCUUAGUUUCCUCUGAGGAAGGAGGAAGAAAGGAGAGUUUCAAGUCUUGGCUAUAUGUCUUGUCUUCCGGGUGUCAUUAUCUUUGUUAUUGGAGAAAGAAGGUAAAACUUUACACAUCUUAGGAAGAGUUGUCCUUGUAACAAGGUUGUUGCUUGUCCUUCAUUCCUGAAGAUUAAUUAUCUCAAGGAGGGGAUUCCCUGACAGGAAAAUAAAUGAGACUUGAGUGAGGUAAGACUGUGCAAGGUUACCAGCCUGCCUUUGUUUUCCAGAACUAUCUGGGUCCAAUGGCCAGAUACAAUUCUGGAUGAUUGAAAAUAGCCCUGGAAGCAGGAGGAGACUUUAAGUUAUCAUCUUUAACAGGUCUCAGUUUGACUAGGCAAUGCCUAUUCAAUGAUUAAGGCUAAUAAGGCUCUGAUGAUCAGAAGACCUGGGGUGAAUCCUGGCUCUCUGACUUAUUGUCUUCCUCACUUAGGACAACUUAUUCAAUCUUUUCUGAGCCUCAGGUUCCUCAUUUAUAAAGUCAGGGGUUUGAACUAGACAAGGGCAUCUUAAGUAUUUUUGCAACUCUCUGCACCAGCCUGCCUGUACUUUAGAGUCUUAUUCAGUAGGGUCUCACCCUUUUGGGGGCUCAUAUCAUUGGUUAAUAAAAGUCUGUGUAUUUUCUAAAUUUUCAUAUAAA